GCCAGGUGCAGUGGCACACACCUAUAAUCCCCGCAGCUCUGGAGGCUGAGGCAGGAGAUUUCGAGUUCAAAGCCAGCCUCUUUGAACUAAAGAUCUCUUGCCUCAG
rnacentral:sRNA from 1 species